AGAAAGACGCUGAAUAGGAAAUAAAUUUAUGUGAAACAGAUAAGAGAGCCGUUGCUUGCUGAAAAACGGACUGUAGAAGAUAGAUGGAUAUCCCCUAGGAGUUGUACAGUGAAAGUUUUGCUAGUAGCUUGUACUGGUUGCCGCCAUUAUUCGGCCAGCAAAUUAGCAAUCGUCUAGUUUGCAUGAGGUGUUUUCAGUGAUGAGAAUACAAACAGAGGUGGUAACACGUUUUUGGCGUCCCCUGA
rnacentral:ncRNA from 1 species